AUCGCUUCUCGGCCUUUUGGCUAAGAUCAAGUGUAAUCAGUUUCUCUUCUAAAGUUCUGCCCUCCGAACAGAGUACAACAUUUUUGAUGGAUGAGAUGUAAAAGUGACUUGUUUUCACUAUUAUAGUUUUUUACAUCUUACGUGUAACAAUCUGCUUACCAGUUUAUAUACUUGCUGGUUAAAAGUGGGAUAAAUA